rnacentral:lncRNA from 1 species
GGAAGAUAAAGAAAGGCAUGGUCUCUGUUAAUGAAUUGAGGUCAGUCCUGGCUGCCUUGGAUGUGACUUUGGGCUCUGAAGAUAUACAGCAGGCACUAGGGUGCACCAAAGUUAGCAAGGAUGGAAUGUUGAACUUUUCAGAAUUCCUGCAGGCUUCCAGGGAACUGGAAAGAAGUCUUGAAGAAGAAGCAUUCCAGGAUGAAUAUGCCACCAAGAGGAGGCCUUUUCAAGAGGUGACUGAGCUUAUCAAUGCUGAAUCUAGGUGGAGAAGGAAUUACUGGGACCUGUUUGAUGAGGAAAUGCCCACUUGCACUUGUCUGCUUCCCCUGAUGUCAUGGCCAAGUUCAUAUGAAGAUAUAUCACUUGUCCAGCCACAGAAAAACGUGUCCUGGCAGGAUGUCAGAGAAAGUCCCAGCAUUGUCUGCAACCUAGAAGAAGGAAAUGGAAAUAAUAAUAUGGUGAAUUCUGUCCAAGAAAACUCCAACACUGCCUCCUCUGACCCUAACACUGUGGGAGAAGAGAGGGACUAUGAGGUCACAGAGACAUCAAAGGUUCAUUUUAACGUCACUGAUCAGGAGGAAACCAGCACUGUAANCCCUGAAAAAGAAGAACAUAAGGACCAUGACACUGUGGAGGUGACAAAUUCUCAGGCAGAUGUGAGCCUCUUGGGCACAGAAGCUUUGCCUUCAUAAGAUGGUUCCAUAUCCAAGGCAAUCAACUGAUAAAGAAGUUGGUUUCUCUGCUCCUCACAAUUUGGUCUAAAUCUGGACUUUCUCAUGGCUUUCCUGUCCCCAGAAGCCUCCUUUCCAACCACAUUAUACCUUACUGAAGUACACUUUCUGAUUAAAAUCUAGGAUGACAUGGGGCAGAGGAGUAGGGCUGUGUAUUAAGGCUCUUUGCAAAUGACACAUUGGCA